rnacentral:RNase_P_RNA from 1 species
CCUGUGCAUCGCUUCACCGCUGUUCGCCGCAAGGCGAAGGGAGGAAAGUCCGGGCAGCGUAGGGCAGCGUGCUUCCUAACGGGAAGGGGGCCACUUGGGAACGGGUGGUCCACAGAAAGUGCCGCAGAAAGGGAAGUUGCCUGCAGACCGCAAGGUCCUAAGCUGGAGUUUUGGCAAGGCCCGCCUUCGCUGAAGCUUCGGCGGGUAAAAAUGAAAAGGUGCGGUAAGAGCGCACCAGUGCUUCUGGCGACAGGGCAGCUUGGUAAACCUCACGCGCUGAAAGACCAUGUAUACCGUGCGUUCCGCAUUGCCGGAACGAGGAAAGCCCGUCCUUCCAACGCACGUUGGAGCGCGGAGGGUAGGUCGAUGGAUCCCGUUGGUGACGGCGGGACUAGAUAGAUGGUGGAGGCUGCGUCGCGAGGCGCGGAACAGAACCCGGCUUACAGAUGCACAGGAGCU